rnacentral:rRNA from 1 species
AGAGUUUGAUCAUGGCUCAGAGCGAACGCUGGCGGCAUGCUUAACACAUGCAAGUCGCACGGGCCGGGCAACCGGUCAGUGGCGGACGGGUGAGUAACGCGUAGGUAUCUAUCCUUGGGUGGGGGAUAACCAUGGGAAACCGUGGCUAAUACCGCAUGACGACUGAGGUCCAAAGGCGCGAGUCGCCUGGGGAGGAGCCUGCGUCCGAUUAGCUAGUUGGUGGGGUAAAGGCUCACCAAGGCUACGAUCGGUAGCUGGUCUGAGAGGAUGAUCAGCCACACUGGGACUGAGACACGGCCCAGACUCCUACGGGAGGCAGCAGUGGGGAAUAUUGGACAAUGGGCGCAAGCCUGAUCCAGCAAUGCCGCGUGGGUGAAGAAGGUUUUCGGAUUGUAAAGCCCUUUCGACGGGGACGAUGAUGACGGUACCCGUAGAAGAAGCCCCGGCUAACUUCGUGCCAGCAGCCGCGGUAAUACGAAGGGGGCUAGCGUUGCUCGGAAUGACUGGGCGUAAAGGGCGCGUAGGCGGAUUGUACAGUCAGAUGUGAAAUUCCUGGGCUCAACCUGGGGGCUGCAUUUGAUACGUAUGGUCUGGAGUGAGGAAGAGGGUCGUGGAAUUCCCAGUGUAGAGGUGAAAUUCGUAGAUAUUGGGAAGAACACCGGUGGCGAAGGCGGCGACCUGGUCCUUUACUGACGCUGAGGCGCGAAAGCGUGGGGAGCAAACAGGAUUAGAUACCCUAGUAGUCC